UUUGAAGUUUUGGAAACAGUGGACCUUGAACGUCUACAAAAGAUGUUCGACUCAUCUUCAACCU
rnacentral:tRNA from 1 species